CAGACACCCAAAAAAAGAAAGAGAGAGAGAGUGUGUGUGUGAGAGAGAGAGAGAGAAACCCUAAACGAGAGCUGCUCAAACCCUAGAGAGAGUGGGAGAGAGAGAGCUCUUUCGCUUGCUUGGUUUCGGGAUCGGAUCGAAGGUAUGCCGCGCGAGAUCAUCACGAUCCAGGUGGGACAAUGCGGGAACCAGAUCGGCAUGGAGUUUUGGAAGCAACUUUGCCUCGAGCACGGCAUUGGCAAGGAUGGUCUCCUCGAGGACUUCGCCACUCAGGGAGGUGACAGGAAAGAUGUUUUCUUCUACCAGGCCGAUGACCAGCAUUACAUUCCGAGAGCUCUUUUGAUGGACUUGGAACCUCGAGUUAUUAACGGGAUACAGAACAGUGAGUAUAGAAAUCUAUAUAAUCACGAAAACAUAUUUCUCUCUGAUCAUGGAGGAGGCGCUGGAAAUAAUUGGGCAAGCGGAUAUCACCAGGGGGAGCAAGUUGUUGAUGAUAUUAUGGAUAUGAUAGAUAGAGAAGCAGAUGGAAGUGAUAGCCUUGAGGGUUUUGUUCUCUGCCAUUCAAUAGCUGGUGGAACUGGAUCAGGAAUGGGAUCGUAUUUACUAGAAACUCUUAACGAACGCUACAGCAAGAAACUUGUCCAGACAUAUAGUGUGUUUCCAAACCAAAUGGAAACAAGUGAUGUGGUGGUUCAGCCUUACAACUCACUGUUGACUCUGAAACGACUUGCAGUGAAUGCAGAUUGUGUUGUUGUUCUUGACAACACAGCACUAAACAGGAUUGCUGUUGAACGUCUUCAUUUAAGCAAUCCUACUUUUGCACAAACAAAUUCGUUGGUGUCGACUGUUAUGUCUGCAAGCACAACCACUCUACGUUAUCCAGGAUAUAUGAAUAAUGAUUUGGUCGGCCUUCUUGCCUCAUUGAUUCCCACUCCAAGAUGCCAUUUUCUAAUGACUGGUUAUACACCAUUGACAGUGGAACGUCAGGUUAAUGUGAUUCGUAAAACUACUGUACUUGAUGUUAUGAGGAGACUUUUGCAGGCAAAGAAUAUCAUGGUUUCUUCCUAUGCCCGUACAAAAGAAGCUAGCCAAGCAAAAUAUAUCUCAAUAUUAAACAUCAUUCAAGGAGAAGUGGACCCUACCCAGGUGCAUGAAAGCUUGCAAAGAAUACGUGAAAGAAAGCUUGUAAAUUUUAUUGAAUGGGGACCUGCUAGCAUCCAGGUUGCUUUAUCCAGAAAGUCACCAUAUGUCCAAACUGCUCAUAGAGUUAGUGGCCUCAUGCUAGCAAACCAUACCAGCAUAAGACACCUCUUCAGCAAAUGUCUGAACCAAUAUGAGAAGCUGAGGAAGAAGCAAGCUUUCCUCGACAAUUAUCGCAAGUUUCCAAUGUUUGCAGAUAACGAUCUUUCGGAAUUUGAUGAAUCUCAUGAAAUAAUUGAAAGCUUGGUUGAUGAAUACAAGGCUUGUGAAUCACCAGACUAUAUCAAGUGGGGAAUGGAGAAGGAUAUGGACACCACUUUGCCAGGAGAAGCAAGUCUAUCUGGAGCACUGGAUGCAAAACUCAAUUUGUAGAACAUGUAUGCUACCUAAGUGUUCAAACCUUUAUCACAACCCUUUUUUUAUGCAGUGUAUCUGGCUUUGUGAUUCAGACAUUUGGAAUGCAGAGGAACUGAGAAUAGAGAAUAUCAUCAUCAACAUGCUGUUUUGCCCAGCCUUUGUCACUGUUGUAUGGUGAACAUCUGGUGAGAUUUUGUUUUACAAAUGCAUAUGUAAGUUGUACAUAUAUUAUCUAUCACAUUAGAUUUUUACUACCAUUCAGACCGGCAAAGGUUUCUUAUACUGUGCAUAGGAUGAACAUUACCAACUACUACUGUAGAAGUUCGAGGGAGAAUUUUUAAUCUAUUGUCACUUGUUUC